rnacentral:rRNA from 1 species
GAUCCUGGCUCAGGAAGUCGUAACAAGGUAACCGUAAAGUUUGAUCCUGGCUCAGGAAAUCGUAACAAGGUAACCGUAAAAUUUGAUCUAUGGCACGGGGAUAACUAUUGGAAACCAUAGCUAAUACCGCAUAACAGUAUGUAACACAUGUUAGAUGCUUGAAAGAUGCAAUUGCAUCGCUAGUAGAUGGACCUGCGUUGUAUUAGCUAGUAGGUAGGGUAAAGGCCUACCUUAGGCAACGAUACAUAGCCGACCUGAGAGGGUGAUCGGCCACACUGGGACUGAGACACGGCCCAGACUCCUACGGGAGGCAGCAGUAGGGAAUCUUCGGCAAUGGGGGGAACCCUGACCGAGCAACGCCGCGUGAGUGAAGAAGGUUUUCGGAUCGUAAAGCUCUGUUGUUAAGGAAGAACGAGUGUGAGAAUGGAAAGUUCAUACUGUGACGGUACUUAACCAGAAAGGGACGGCUAACUACGUGCCAGCAGCCGCGGUAAUACGUAGGUCCCGAGCGUUGUCCGGAUUUAUUGGGCGUAAAGCGAGCGCAGGCGGUUAGAAAAGUCUGAAGUGAAAGGCAGUGGCUCAACCAUUGUAGGCUUUGGAAACUGUUUAACUUGAGUGCAGAAGGGGAGAGUGGAAUUCCAUGUGUAGCGGUGAAAUGCGUAGAUAUAUGGAGGAACACCGGUGGCGAAAGCGGCUCUCUGGUCUGUAACUGACGCUGAGGCUCGAAAGCGUGGGGAGCGAACAGGAUUAGAUACCCUGGUAGUCCACGCCGUAAACGAUGAGUGCUAGGUGUUAGGUCCUUUCCGGGACUUAGUGCCGCAGCUAACGCAUUAAGCACUCCGCCUGGGGAGUACGACCGCAAGGUUGAAACUCAAAGGAAUUGACGGGGGCCCGCACAAGCGGUGGAGCAUGUGGUUUAAUUCGAAGCAACGCGAAGAACCUUACCAGGUCUUGACAUCCCGAUGCUAUUUCUAGAGAUAGGAAGUUUCUUCGGAACAUCGGUGACAGGUGGUGCAUGGUUGUCGUCAGCUCGUGUCGUGAGAUGUUGGGUUAAGUCCCGCAACGAGCGCAACCCUUAUUGUUAGUUGCCAUCAUUGAGUUGGGCACUCAACCAAGACUGCCGGUAAUAAACCCGAAGGAAGGUGGGGGAUGACCGUCAAAUCAUCAUGCCCCUUAUGACCUGGGCUACACACGUGCUACAAUGGCUGGUACAACGAGUCGCAAGCCGGUGACGGCAAGCUAAUCUCUGAAAGCCAGUCUCAGUUCGGAUUGUAGGCUGCAACUCGCCUACAUGAAGUCGGAAUCGUUAGUAAUCGUCGAUCAUCACGACGUGGUAACA